rnacentral:lncRNA from 1 species
CAUCCCAUGUGAUGUCCUUUGGUUCCCUAUUUAUAUGGGAUGCUGCACCUAAUUUCUUACUAUAAUUUUGAGUUAAAACUAUAGAGGAGGGAGAUGGUAAUCAUAGGAAAAAUUUUAAAAAAAAUUUGAGAAAAAAGCAAGGGAUAUUUGAGUGGCAAAAUUUGCAAGAAGGGUGGUGAGAUUUUUAGCAAGUGUUGCUAGUGUGCCCUAGGGUUUGGUUUUUCUAUAUGUUGGAGUCAAAAAUUAAAUCUUAGGUUGUACAAUAUCUGAAGAGUAUCUUCUUAGUAUCAUUCUAGUGGCA